UACGAAGGGGGCUAGCGUUGUUCGGAAUUACUGGGCGUAAAGCGCGCGCAGGCGGUCCUUCAAGUCAGAGGUGAAAGCCCAGAGCUCAACUCUGGGAACGGCCUUUGAGACUAGAGGACUUGGGUACGGGAGAGGUGAGUGGAAUUCCGAGUGUAGAGGUGAAAUUCGUAGAUAUUCGGAAGAACACCAGUGGCGAAGGCGGCUCACUGGCCCGUUACCGACGCUCAGGCGCGACAGCGUGGGGAGCAAACAGG
rnacentral:rRNA from 1 species